rnacentral:rRNA from 1 species
GACGAACGCUGGCGGCGUGCCUAAUACAUGCAAGUAGAACGCUGAAGGAGGAGCUUGCUUCUCCGGAUGAGUUGCGAACGGGUGAGUAACGCGUAGGUAACCUGCCUGGUAGCGGGGGAUAACUAUUGGAAACGAUAGCUAAUACCGCAUAACAGUAGAUAUUGCAUGAUAUCUGCUUGAAAGGUGCAAAUGCAUCACUACCAGAUGGACCUGCGUUGUAUUAGCUAGUUGGUGAGGUAACGGCUCACCAAGGCAACGAUACAUAGCCGACCUGAGAGGGUGAUCGGCCACACUGGGACUGAGACACGGCCCAGACUCCUACGGGAGGCAGCAGUAGGGAAUCUUCGGCAAUGGACGGAAGUCUGACCGAGCAACGCCGCGUGAGUGAAGAAGGUUUUCGGAUUGUAAAGCUCUGUUGUAAGAGAAGAACGAGUGUGAGAGUGGAAAGUUCACACUGUGACGGUAUCUUACCAGAAAGGGACGGCUAACUACGUGCCAGCAGCCGCGGUAAUACGUAGGUCCCGAGCGUUGUCCGGAUUUAUUGGGCGUAAAGCGAGCGCAGGCGGUUAGAUAAGUCUGAAGUUAAAGGCUGUGGCUUAACCAUAGUACGCUUUGGAAACUGUUUAACUUGAGUGCAAGAGGGGAGAGUGGAAUUCCAUGUGUAGCGGUGAAAUGCGUAGAUAUAUGGAGGAACACCGGUGGCGAAAGCGGCUCUCUGGCUUGUAACUGACGCUAAAGCGCGAAAGCGUGGGUAGCAAACAGG